rnacentral:rRNA from 1 species
AGAGUUUGAUCCUGGCUCAGAGCGAACGCUGGCGGCAGGCUUAACACAUGCAAGUCGAACGGGCAUAGCAAUAUGUCAGUGGCAGACGGGUGAGUAACGCGUGGGAACAUACCUCUUGGUUCGGAACAACACAGGGAAACUUGUGCUAAUACCGGAUAAGCCCUUACGGGGAAAGAUUUAUCGCCGAGAGAUUGGCCCGCGUCUGAUUAGCUAGUUGGUGUGGUAAAGGCGCACCAAGGCGACGAUCAGUAGCUGGUCUGAGAGGAUGAUCAGCCACAUUGGGACUGAGACACGGCCCAAACUCCUACGGGAGGCAGCAGUGGGGAAUAUUGGACAAUGGGCGCAAGCCUGAUCCAGCCAUGCCGCGUGAGUGAUGAAGGCCUUAGGGUUGUAAAGCUCUUUUGUACGGGAAGAUAAUGACGGUACCGUAAGAAUAAGCCCCGGCUAACUUCGUGCCAGCAGCCGCGGUAAUACGAAGGGGGCUAGCGUUGCUCGGAAUCACUGGGCGUAAAGGGUGCGUAGGCGGGUUUUUAAGUCAGAGGUGAAAUCCUGGAGCUCAACUCCAGAACUGCCUUUGAUACUGAAAGUCUUGAGUAUGGGAGAGGUGAGUGGAACUGCGAGUGUAGAGGUGAAAUUCGUAGAUAUUCGCAAGAACACCAGUGGCGAAGGCGGCUCACUGGCCCAUUACUGACGCUGAGGCACGAAAGCGUGGGGAGCAAACAGGAUUAGAUACCCUGGUAGUCC